GAGAAACGGCUACCAAUCCAAGGAAGGCAGCAGGCGCGCAAAUUACCCACUCCCGGCACGGGGAGGUAGUGACGAAAAAUAACGAUACGGACUCUUACGAGGCCUCGUAAUCGGAAUGAGUACACUUUAAAUAUUUAACGAGGAACAAUUGGAGGGCAAGUCUGGUGCCAGCAGCGCGGUAAUUCCAGCUCCAAUAGCGUAUACUAAAAUUGUUGCGGUUAAAAAGCUCGUAGUUGCAUUUGUGCGCCGCGCUGUCGGUGCACCGCAUCCGCGUGAUACUGACACGUCUGCGGAGCAUAUCGUCGGUGAGCCGUCGGUUAACGUCGGUUCAAUAUCAAAAUCCUAUCGCGGUGCUCUUCAAUGAGUGUCGAGGUGGGCCGACAAUUUUACUUUGAACAAAUUAGAGUGCUCAAGCGGGCUCAAAUGCUGCUUGAAUAUUUCGUGCAUGGAAUAAUAGAAUAUGAUCUCGGUUCUAUUUUGUUGGUUUUCAGAACUCCGAGGUAAUGAUUAAUAGGGAUAACUGGGGGCAUUCGUAUUGCGACGUUAGAGUGAAAUUCUUGGAUCGUCGCAAGACGAACAUCAGCGAAAGCAUUUGCCAAAGGUGUUUUCAUCAAUCAAGAACGAAAGUUAGAGGUUCGAAGGCGAUUAGAUACCGCCCUAGUUCUAACCGUAAAUAUGUCAUCUAGCGAUCCGCCGACGUUACUACAAUGGCUCGGCGGGCAGCUUCCGGGAAACCAAAGAUUUUGGACUCCGGGGGGAGUAUGGUUGCAAAGCUGAAACUUAAAGGAAUUGACGGAAGGGCACCACCAGGAGUGGAGCCUGCGGCUUAAUUUGACUCAACACGGGAAAUCUCACCAGGCCCGGACACCGGAAGGAUUGACAGAUUAACAGCUCUUUCUUGAUUCGGUGGGUGGUGGUGCAUGGCCGUUCUUAGUUGGUGGAGCGAUUUGUCUGGUUAAUUCCGGUAACGAACGAGACUCUAGCCUGCUAAAUAGGCGUCGUCAUUUAGGUGUGCGUGGCUCCGUCACGCAACUCACUGGCGACGUAUUAAAAUUCUUCUUAGAGGGACCGGCGGCUUCGAGCCGCACGAGAUUGAGCAAUAACAGGUCUGUGAUGCCCUUAGAUGUCCUGGCCGCACGCGCGCUACACUGAAGGAAUCAGCAUGUUCUCCCUGGCCUAGAGGCCCGGGCAACCCGCUGAAACUCCUUCGUGCUGGGGAUUGGGGUUUGCAAUUAUCCCCAUAAACGAGGAAUUCCUAGUAAGCGCGAGUCAUAAGCUCGCGUUGAUUACGUCCCUGCCCUUUGUACACACCGCCCGUCGCUACUACCGAUUGAAUGAUUUAGUGAGGUCUUCGGACCGACACGCGGUGGCUUCACGGCCGUCGGCGUUGCUGGGAAGUUGACCAAACUUGAUCAUUUAGAGGAAGUAAAGUCGUAACAAGGUUUCCGUAGGGGAACCUGCGGAAG
rnacentral:rRNA from 1 species